rnacentral:rRNA from 1 species
UGGGGAAUAUUGCACAAUGGGCGCAAGCCUGAUGCAGCCAUGCCGCGUGUGUGAAGAAGGCCUUCGGGUUGUAAAGCACUUUCAGCGAGGAGGAAGGUGGUGAGCUUAAUACGCUCAUCAAUUGACGUUACUCGCAGAAGAAGCACCGGCUAACUCCGUGCCAGCAGCCGCGGUAAUACGGAGGGUGCAAGCGUUAAUCGGAAUUACUGGGCGUAAAGCGCACGCAGGCGGUUUGUUAAGUCAGAUGUGAAAUCCCCGGGCUCAACCUGGGAACUGCAUUUGAAACUGGCAAGCUAGAGUCUCGUAGAGGGGGGUAGAAUUCCAGGUGUAGCGGUGAAAUGCGUAGAGAUCUGGAGGAAUACCGGUGGCGAAGGCGGCCCCCCUGGACGAAGACUGACGCUCAGGUGCGAAAGCGUGGGGCAGCAAACAGGAUUAGAUACCCUGGUGUCCACGCUGUAAAACGAUGUCGAUUUGGAGGUUGUGCCCUUGAGGCGUGGCUUCCGGAGCUAACGCGUUAAAUCGACCGCC